AAUCAUUAUAAAUGAAAUGUUUUUUAAAACUACAAGUAAAUAAUCAUUGCCCAAUCUUUGACAUAUGCAUUGGUUCUAUUUAUGACUCUGAGUCAUCUGAAGUUGUCUAUUUUCUUUUUUUUUUUUUUGACAUUAAACAUGCCAAUAAUGUCACCACCAAAAAAUGAAAUAGGAGUUCCCGUCGUGGCGCAGUGGCUAACGAAUCCGACUAGGAACCAUGGGGUUGCGGGUUCGAUCCCUGCCCUUGCUCAGUGGGUUAACGAUCCGGCGUUGCCGUGAGCUGUGGUGUAGGUUGCAGACGCGGCUCGGAUCCCGCGUUGCUGUGGCUGUGGCGUAGGCCAGCAGCUACAGCUCUGAUUUGACCCCUAGCCUGAGAGUCUCCAUGGAUGUGGCCCAAAAAGAAAAAAAAAAAAAAAAGAAAUAAUGUGAAAUGUUGUCUUCUUUAAAAUGGAUCAAGAAUUUAGACAUGCUCUGGGAGUUCCCACUGUGGUGCAGCAGACAAAUCCAACUAGUAUCCAUGAGGAUGCCGAUUCAAUCCCUGGCCUCACUCACUGGGUCUGGGAUCUGGUGUUGCCGAGAGCAGUGGUGUAGGUCACAGCUCGGAUCCCACAUUGCUGUGGCUGUGGCGUAGGCCAGCAGCUACAGCUCUGAUUUGACCCCUAGCCUGAGAGUCUCCAUGGAUGUGGCCCAAAAAGAAAAAAACAAAAAAAAAAGGGAUUUAGAGAUGCUCAAUAAUGAAGUAAACUGAGUAGGGACUCCUAGAUUUUUGUAAUUUCUUUCCAAUGAUUAUAAGUCUCAUGCACAAGUAAUUCAAGAGUAAUAGUUUGAGUUUCUUAUCUUUAUAGAGUCUCUCCAAAGAAUACAAUUUAGUUUUCAUAGAAAUUAUUCUCUUCAUACUCAUUGUUUUUAUAAAUAUACAUAAUAUUUCAUCAGACCAUUUGAAUAACCACUGCACUUGGCAUAACCUGUUGGAAUAAAUAUGUGUGACUCUGGCAAAAAGCACAUUCCACUGAUGCUGAGAGUGGGUAAGCCCCUCUCCCAGACCAUUCAGCCUUCUGUGGACAUCAGCCAGCUCGUUCUACAGAGGACUGGAACAUGUCAGUUAAUCUGUCAAGGUGGUCAAGUUGAAGUCAGCUAAGAAAGCCACCAUUUUUACAUCAAAAUGAUAAUGAUGUUAUCUGCAAGAUAUGGCAUCAGGGUAAUAUAAUUUUUUCUUUGCUUCUCUGUAUGUUUAAAAUCUCCCUCUAGAGUUAUUUUUUUAAUUGAAGUAACUGCUAUAGUUUCUUUUUUCUUUUCUUUUCUUUUUUUUUUUUGGCCAAGCCCAUGAUGUGGAAGUUCUCAGGUCAGGGAUCAAACCUGUGCGACAGCAGUGACCAGAGCUGCUGCAGUGACAACAUCUGGAUCCUUAACCCACUGCACCACAGGAGAAUGUCUGUAGUUUUUAACAUGAAAAAAAAUACGGCUGAGUUAAAACGCAAAUAUCCAGGAGUUUCCUAGCGGGUUAAGGAUCUGGCCUUGUCAUUGCAGCAGCUUGGGCUGCUGCUCUGGUUGGAUGCCUGGCCCAGGAAAACUUCGGCAAGCAACAGUCAUGACAAGAAAAAAAAAGGAAAAAAAACACGCAAAUAUCCAGGUAUGUGUAAUAAAAUGACUGUAACUAAAGCUGUGUGAUAAUAGGCCAAUAGACAGAAGAGAAAACAAAAUCUAUUAUUUAUAAGAAUGUAAUAAAAACUAAGGCUGUACCUCAAAUGAUUAAUAAGUGGUGUCUAGGACAAUUGACCUUCAGUGUGAAAACAAAUCUAAGUCAAAUCCAAAUGGAAUAAGGACUUUUUUUUUCUUUUUUUUUCUUUUUUUUUGUCUUUUUGCCUUUUCUAGGGCCGCCCCCGCAGCACAUGGAGGUUCUCAGGCUAGCGAUCGAGUGGGAGUUGUAGCCACCGGCCUAUGCUGGAGCCACAGCAACACAGGAUCCGAGCUGCGUCUACAACCUACACCACAGCUCACAGCAACACUAGAUCCUUAAUCCACUGAGCAAGGUUCCUAGUCGGAUUCGUUAACCACUGAGCCACAACGGGAACUCUUGAUUUUUUUUUUUUUUUUUUAAGUUAGACAAGGGAAAAGUCAAGGGAAGGAGUGGGGAGAUCUUAAUAAAUUUAGAAGAAUCAGGUGAGGAAAAAAAAUGAUAGACUAGUGGGAGUUAUGAGAUCCACCUCUCACAUUUUGUGCGAAGUGUGAUGAGUGAGGCCCAUUUCAGAUGUGUUUCCUAAACGCGUCUGCAGCAGUAUGCUAAGCCUAUGCAUGUCCACUCAACAAACGUUUCCUGAGACCUCCUCUGGUCAGUAGGAUUUAUUUUCUGGGGACUCAGUGGUAGAUAUUCCCUCCCUGAUCUGAAGUGACUCACAGCCUAAUGAAGGAGACGGACAGCAGGGAGGGUGUGCUGGGAGCACACAGGAAAGCACUGAGCUAUUAGGAGACACUGUCUGAGCUGAGUCUAGAAGGAUGAGCAGAAACGAGCCAGGAGACGAGAGUGAAGGAGGGAAGAAAGACGACUACCCAGAGGAGCAGCAUGGGCCAUCAUACAGUGGCAUGAGGAAACCACAGUCUUCAGAUAAAGUCCAGAGCCAAGAACACGUGGAUGGGCAAUGAGAGGUGACCCUGGAGAGGACAUGGGCAUUUCAACCUAAACCCAGAGUUGUCAAGAGCCUGUGGGAGACUUGGAAGAGGGAAGGGGGAGAUUCCAGUGGAAAACCUACAGAUCUGGUGACUAGGGGAGGAGAAAAGGAAUUGUGGAGACCUCCACUCAGUCUGGGCUGUGCCAUUUAAAGAUAGGGGCUUGCUCCACAUGGUCAAGUUCAUCCAGGCUCUGAUUCUCUUAAGUCACUGAAUGUUGGAAAUGUUCACCUUUUCUUCUCAGUGCUGCCAGAUGCAAAAUCUUUGUAGCGAUAGGAGCCAUGUGGGAAAGAGUUUGAGGGUCUGAAAAUAUUUUGCUGUGCCAACAAAUUUUUUUCACACUCUCUGAUGAAGGAAAUCUACCUGCUUUCUGAUUUUCAUUUAAGAGACACCAACCUAACAAUGGCUUGUCUGGCUAAGGUAACUACAGACAGGUUUUCUCAGUGGCUCUAACUCUGCUUUUCUACAUUGUCAACUUAACGAUCUGUGUUAGCUUCUCUACUAACAAAAAAGACAUACAGCGUGUUUUUAGUAUAUACACAAAAUAUGUGUAUAUACAUACAUAUUUAUGCUCCACUUUUUUUCCAGAAAGGCUUAUGUACAAUAAGAUUGUUAAAAUAGAAAAGCAAAGACAUAAACAGGAAGAAACAAAUAUACUAAACUCCAGGACUAAUAUGAUUACAGGACAAUGAAGCAUUAAAUGCUUUGAACUUCCUAGCAACCUAAAAAGAAAGAACAACAAAAUUUAUAGAAUUUUAUCCUUUGAUGGAUAGAGGUAAUAUGCAUUGUUCAGGUAACUGUGAAAAAAAAAUAAUCUACCUAUGACUCUCAAAUUAGGGUUUGGGGGAGCUGAACAGGUAAAGUCUGAGCAUGUAACUUCCUGAUUCUUUAACUGAAUUUGUUUCCUCAUCCUUAUCCAGAUCUGCCUUUCUUAGGACUUAGAGGACAUGUUUGUAAGUAUAAAUGAAACAGAAAUGUAGCCUUUGUUUAUUCCAAAGACAUACAUGGAGUCCUGUAUUCACUAAGGAUACAGAAAUGAGAGACUUGGUCUUUGCCCUUUAGGAAGGCAGGGGGUAAGCAGAUUAUUGUCAUAUAGUGUAUGUACCAGCUGCUUUAACAGAGUUAACUCAGGAGUAACACAAUCACUGCCUGAAGUGGGGAGGGCAGGAAGACAGGUGUGUGAUAACUUAAAGAAGCCUUUUGAGAAAGGGAGGUGGUGUUCCAAGCAGAGGGAACAGCAGGUGUGAAGAGGUGAUAUGUCUAUGAAUCUGUACUGAAGAAUGAGUGUGGGGACAUGAAACUGGAGAAGUCAACAGGUGUCGGAUCUUUUUUUUUUUUUUUCCCCUGGCUGUGCCUACAUCAUGUAGAAGUUCCCAGGCUAGGGAUCAAACCCAUGCCACAGCAUGACCCAAACCACAUCAGCAACAAUGCUAGAUCCUUAACAGCUAGGCCACCAGGGAACUCCAAUGGGUAUCAGAUCUUGAGAGUCUUUGUGCUGAACUAAGGGUCUUGAUUUUAUACUGAGAAAAAUGGGGACUCACUGCAGGAUUUUUAACAAAGAAAUGCUUGAUGAUCUUUGCAUUUCAGGAAGAAAAGAAAAUCACUGUGACGGGUGCGAGGGGCUACUUACUCAACUUGAUAAAGUGUGUUUGUUUAGGAAAAACCCACAGCUAACAUUGUGAAAGUCCAAAAGCUUCCUCCCACCUGCUUAGAUCAAUAAUAACAAGACAAGCAGUCCUCUCUACCCAUUUCUAUUCAAUAUUGCACUGAAGGCUCAAGCCAGAGUAAUUAGAUAAGAAAAAGAAAUGAAAGGCACCCAAACUAGAAAGAAGUAAAAUCUCUUUUACCAGAUGACAUUUUAUAGAUAAAAAAUCAUAACAACUCAUACAGACACACACAAAAAUCAGGUUUGUUUCUGUGCACUAGCAAUGAGCAAUCCAAAAAGGAAAUGAAGAAAACAAUUCUAUUCACAAGGGUACCAAAAAUAAAAUAUCGAGAAGUAAAUUUCACCAGGGAGGUGCAAGGUGUUUACAUUGAAAGCUACAAAAUACUAUUGAAAGAAAUGAAUAAAGACAUAAUAAGAAGACAUGAACAUUUGUGGAUUGGAAGAGAAUAUUAUUAGGAUGGUAGCACUACCCAAAGUGAUCUGCAGAUUUAGUGCGUUAAUCCCUAUCAAAAUCCCAGUGGUCUUUUUUUUUUUUUUUUUGUAGAAAUGGAAAUGGUAAUUCAGAAAUUCAUAUGGAAUUGCAAGGAAUCACAUAUAGCCAAAACAAUCAUGAAUAAGAACAAAAUUGGAGAGCUACAAUUUCCUGAUUUCAAAACUUAUGGCAAUAAGUCCUGAUUUCAAAAGUUAUGGCAAUUGAAACAAUGUGGUACUGAUGUACAGAUCAAUGGAAAUGGAAAUCAAUGCAACAGAAUUAAAAGUACAGAAAUAAAAAGCAUAUGUCUGUUGUCAAUGACUUUUCAGCAAGAUUUCCAAGACUAUUCAAUGAGGAAGGAAGAGUCUUUUCAGUAACUGAUGCUUUUACAACUUGGUUAAUGCAUAAAAAGAGGCUGGACUUCUACCUCAUCUCAUAUACAAAAAUUAACUAAAAUGGAUCAAAGAUGUAAGUAUAAGAGCUAAGAUUUUAAACCUCUUAGAAGAAAACAGGAGAAUCUUCAUGAUCUUGUAUUUGGCAGUAGUUUCUUGGAUAUGAUAUGAAACCAAAACACAAACAACAAAAGAAAAA
rnacentral:lncRNA from 1 species